ensembl:lncRNA
CUCAGCUCAAAAGUAGCUGUCCUCCAGGAAACCCUCCUGAGCUCCCAGACCUCCUCUAUCCCUGGACUUCCCACCCCGUCCCUGCCCACUUCGUGUCAUCACGGAUGGAGGUGGGUGUGUCUUUGUCAUGGUCACGUGUCUCCAGCACUGUCCCAGGGCAUGACUGCUGAGUGAAAGGAUGAAACUCUUGAGUGCAGUGAAUGACUGACCUCUGAGCCAGCACAAGGACAAGAAGAAACCUUAGAAAACGUCUUGCCUUGUCCCCUUCUAGUACAGAUACUAACGAUAGUAAUGAUUCUGUGAAAUUGUAGGCCUAGUCUUCAAGUCUAGAGAUGGAAUGAACAUAAUGAUGAAGUCUCCCAGAAGAUGGGCAGAUGGAGAUUUUGCGGGCUUUAAAAACAACUAUGAGUCUUAUUUGCCGCACCUGGGAUCUUCACCGUGGCGCGGGCUUAGUUGCCCUGAGGCAGGUGGGAUCUCGGUUCCCCCACCAGGGAUCCAACGCCCGUUCCCUGCAUUGGAAGGCAAAUUCUUAACCACUGGACCACCAGGGAAGUACCUGUGAACCUCUUUUUUAAAAGUGCAAAACCGCGUGUACAAAUUUAAAUAGAGGACCAAAGAAAGCCAGUUUCACUGUUACCCCAUCAUUGCUCUCAGCACUAGACGCCCCAACAUCCUCAUAUACCGCAGAGUCCUGCCCUGUUGCAACACCAGGGGCUCUGAGCUACACUGUGACCUCAGAUGGGGCCCUUGUAAAGCCCUCCUCCAUGUCCACUGGAUGACCAAGUAAAUACUUCCAUUCCUGUUAAAUCAAUCACCGAUCAGACCCACUCUGUGCUCCACUAGGGGACGCCCGACACCAACCAGAGGGUACCCUGUGACCAGCCCAGCUGCGUCCUUUAGAGUAUGCUCCCUGUGACCCCUAUCCAAGGUGGCUGCACCUAGAUCUUGAACUCUUUCCUCACUUCUUCACCUUUUCUUCAUCACCUGCAUUGCUGUCUGAAGUUGUCUUUUCCAUGGAUCGUCUCUGCCUCCCACCCUUUCCCCUCAGCCCCUCUAUUUGUGACUCAGGAUGGAAGAGUUUCUGGUCCUGAAUAGGAGCUCAGGAAACAUUAUUACUCUUGCUAGUAAGAAGAGCUAAAAAAGCAUACCUCCAAGCUGUAAGCAGUAAAACCGUAUAAAGCUGGGUCAGGACCCAACCAGUACCUUUUUGAGGGGUCAUGUGAAGGCAAGGUCAAACCAGUCAAUCCUAAAGGAAAUCAGUCCUGAAUAUUCAUUGAAAGGACUGAUGCUGAAGCUGAAACUCCAAUACUUUGGCCACCUGAUGUAAAGAAUUGACUCAUUGGAAAAGUCCCUAAUACUGGGGAAAAUUGAAGGCAGGAGAAGAAGAGGACAACAGAGGAUGAGAUGGUUGGAUGGCAUCACCAAGUUGGAUAUAAAUUUGAGCAAGCUCCGGGAGUUGGUGAUGGACAGGUAAGCCUGGCAUGCUGCAGAUCAUGGGGUCGCAAAGACUCAAACACGACUGAGCAAUUGAACUGAACUGAUGAAGGCAGGGCUGUCUUUUUCCCUGCUGUGUCUCCAGCGCCUGGUUGUGUCUCAAUAAAUACAUGACAGGGUGCAGGGUGCGGGGCGGGGGGGGCGUGCAAUGUAUAGGAACUGGCACAGAACACAGCUUUUACAGAUCUGCCUUCUUGGGUCCCAGCCAACCUGGGCACUGCCUUCCCACACUCAGCAAUGACUCAUGGGCACCACUCUCCCCUCUGCCAUAGGGCCAUUGAACACCUCUCUGCAAUGGCAUAUUUAAAGUGUCAGCCCAGUGAUUGAUGUUGAUGAAUGGCAGAAACCAACACAAUAUUGCAAAGUAAUUAUCC